UACGUAGGGAGCAAGCGUUGUUCGGAUUUACUGGGCGUAAAGGGCGCGUAGGCGGCAAAUUAAGUCAGCUGUGAAAUCUCCGAGCUUAACUCGGAACUGUCAGCUGAUACUGAUCUGCUAGAGUGCGGAAGGGGCAAUCGGAAUUCUUGGUGUAGCGGUGAAAUGCGUAGAUAUCAAGAGGAACACCUGAGGUGAAGACGGGUCGCUGGGCCGACACUGACGCUGAGUGCGCGAAAGCCAGGGGAGCAAACGGG
rnacentral:rRNA from 1 species